rnacentral:rRNA from 1 species
GUGGGGAAUAUUGGACAAUGGGCGAAAGCCUGAUCCAGCCAUGCCGCGUGUGUGAAGAAGGUCUUCGGAUUGUAAAGCACUUUAAGUUGGGAGGAAGGGCAGUAAGUUAAUACCUUGCUGUUUUGACGUUACCAACAGAAUAAGCACCGGCUAACUUCGUGCCAGCAGCCGCGGUAAUACGAAGGGUGCAAGCGUUAAUCGGAAUUACUGGGCGUAAAGCGCGCGUAGGUGGUUCAGCAAGUUGAAGGUGAAAUCCCCGGGCUCAACCUGGGAACUGCCUCAAAAACUACUGAGCUAGAGUACGGUAGAGGGUAGAGGAAUUUCCUGUGUAGCGGUGAAAUGCGUAGAUAUAGGAAGGAACACCAGUGGCGAAGGCGACUACCUGGACUGAUACUGACACUGAGGUGCGAAAGCGUGGGGAGCAAACAGGAUUAGAUACCCGGGUAGUCC